rnacentral:lncRNA from 1 species
UAAUUCCCUCUAUGAAUUACGAGGUGUGUUUUCCUUUUAGCUACUUAAAUCCUAUGGCAUGGAAUCUACAGUUGUAUUGCCUACGUAACUUUUCAUUUUCUGCAGAUGCUCCUAAUUCCUCAGAAACCGAAAAAGAAACACUGGUUAUUUUAGAAGAAACCGGUCGCUUAUGAUGUUGCAACCUGCCAGAAAAGGGAACGAAAUUUAUACCGUCCCUAUACCCUACAUAUAUAGAUUCUACAUCCCAAAUAGCACAGCUUGCUUUACAAUGCCUCCAAAUGACUCCUAAUGAGCAGCCUUCGAGGACUAAAGUCGUGGAAGAACUGGAAUCAGUAGACACUGGCAUCGCUAAUAGAAUAGAACGGGAUAGUUAAAUUCACUUAUUAUGUCAUUCUUACUUCAUGUGAUGUAAGUCAAAGUCUGUUGUUCCACACUUUUCUAUUUUUCCCAUGAAUAAUCCUGGGCUUUGAAUGUUCAUUUCUAUUGUACCCAGCAGUUACUAGGAGUUGUCUUCUCUUGCAAGUUCUUUGGAAUAUCCAUGACAUGUAUAUUAAUACAUGCACCGCUUUGUGAAGUGAGAUGUGAUUGUACUUAUGUUUAUGAGAGGAACAGUUCUUUAAGGCUAAUCCUUGAUCUUGUUGGCAAUCUGAGGUCCACAGAAGAAGUCCAUUGCUCUUCAAGAGUCUGAGCUCUUUAAUUUUCUUGCAUGCUUAGGCUUUGAACAUGAGCAAAAGCUCAUUUUGGUUGCCAUCACGAAUGUGUUUAUGUUGUGCUUGCUCUGCAAUCAAUCUCCAGGAAGUGCUAGGCGGUUCAGUCCAUUCUCAUAGUAUUUUUGAGCUAUGAGACAUGGUUGGGGAAAUUGAUGGAGUCAUUUAAGGCAAAGUGCUGCUCAGCUGUCCAUUCAGAAAGAGCAAGAUAUGACUUUUGGUGCUGUCAUGUUGCAGCUAAGACAUGUCUGUUUUGUGCUGAUAAGAGACAUAGUUCUUAUCAUAUGCCAGUUUUAGAUAAGACUUUCCAUAUGACAUCAUAAAUGACUAAAUUUAUAUUCUCAGUAACUUAGCCCAUUGGUUAUUGUACUUUCUUCACUGUUUGUAAAUCUGAGGGCCCUAUUAUUUUCGACAUUUCUCAUGUAAUUUUUUUUUUUAACUUGUUAAUAUGUCUCUUUUACAUCACUCUCAAUGCAAAAAUAUAAAAGUUUCCAUCAUUUUUUUGAAAAUUUUAAAUAAAUUAAAAAAAUUAAAUUGAUUACAUCAAACAGUUUUUGCGCAUUAAAUUGAUUACAUCAAAGAACUUUCCAAAUAUAUGUUUAUCAAAUAGUAUCUUCCUAAUGUUACUUCUCAAGUCAUUUUAAUUUGCAAAUUACCAAACAGUUUUUGCGCAUUUCACAGAACUCCUUUAGGCUAAAGCCUCUUCAUUAGCCAAAGGCUUUCCCCAAAAGCCAAAGCAAACGCACCCAUAAAUGGGUACUUGAAAUUGAGCUUUAUGCAGACCUUUUUGCUUGAUUGUUGUUGCCCUGCUAUGUGAUCCACUGUUUCAUGUAAAAAAGCGAUAUAGUCGUCAUCAUGGCUGAAGCGCUCUUGGAGAUCCGGCCUCAUGAAGUCAAGUUUAUCUGUGAGUGUAUAUAGUGCUGUGUGAUUGGUUCAUUUUUAUUUUGGAGUUACAUUCAAUUUGCGUUGCUUGCCUCCUGUUUUACUAGGCAAUAAGUGAAGGGGAUGAUAUUUCUUUGUCCUACAAUAGUUUGCUUGAGAAUUUGUGGUUCAACAUCGUAAAUAAUGGUAAAAGAAAUAUCUUAAAUAAGAGCUUUAAUGGUGAGUAUGAAUCGGUUAUUGGUCGCCCUGUUUUGGAUGUUCUUCUGUGAUGUAAAUGUGAAAUGCAUGUGAUUGUUCUUAUUAAACUGCACCGUACAGAAUACAUGGGGUGGGUUGUGUUCAAAUGCAUCUCCUUUCGGUUGAGAAAAGCAUCAUUUAGUCAGCUGUUUCGUGGGUGAAGUUGGAGAUAGAGGGGAUUCAUGAUUUCAGUGGAAUUUCUCUUUUGCUAGAUUGUGAGAGAUACUAGCUUUGAUUUAGCCUAUCUUAGUAUGGGAUGAGUUGAUUGUCGGGGGUGAUGAAUGGCAAUGCCAGUGAAUGCAAAGCUUUCCACUGUCUGUGGAGUAUUAUUGCUUAUGAGAUCGGAUAGUUUAUGGGACUAAUCAUCUGUUCAUUGAUGACUUCUUGUGGGAGAAACUUAGAAAAUGGUUUUGGAGAUAGUGGUUCUAAAGGGAGACAAGGAGCUUGUCAGUACUCUUAGGGGCUUCAAUGUGUACGUCAACAUGGUCCUCGAGGAUGUUACUGAGACGUAUGUAUCUCUCUCUCCCUCUCAAAUUUACUUGUGCUUCAAGACGCUUCUUGCAUUACUUUUGGGGUGAAGGGAAGCCAUUUUAUGUUCUUGACGUCAAUUUAUUAUCUGAAGGGGCAAAUGACCUUGAUUUGUAUGUAUUAGCAUUGUAAGUUAUCAUACCCGUGGUUUUUGAGGCCUCUCUGUCCUAAAUUUGAUCUAUGCUUCUAACUGAGAAUCGGUACUCGCACAAGCAUCUGCAAUUUGGCCUUGCUCAACAUCCAACGCCCCCUUUUUCUUUUCUCUCACUCCACUUUUUAUUGAGCUUGUAGAUGUAAACUGUGGAAGCUUCAUGUGAUUGUAAGAUUCUGUUUUCAUUCUUGCAUACAGUGAAAUCACUUCUGAAGGACGAAGGAUAACAAAGCUCGAUCAGAUUUUGCUUAACGGAAACAACAUAGCUAUCGUAAGAAACAACUUCUUCCUUCUACUGAUAUUGAUAUGGCUAUAUGUUUUGAGCCCUUGCUUUGAUAAGGCCAUGGUCUUGCCUAAAGUUUUGGUAAUCUAUCAACUAGUGAGCAAUUGCCUUAACCAAACAGAAACAAUCAGCCGCUCUGAGAGAUUUCUUCUGAUAAGACUCAAAAUGCUUAGACAAUGUAUUGAUGUAUGCAAAUAAAAUGCAUACAUUGCAGUCAAUCCUGCAGAAUAUAUUAUGACAUAUCCUCCUGAAUCAAUGCCUUUGCUUGCCAAUUUGCAUUGCCAUUCUCCUAAAAAUCAUGAAAGGUUUGCUAGGGAAGGAGCUCAUUGCUUCUUACAAAUUCAUCGGUCCUUUGAUUCAUCUUGGAAUUGCAUUCCUCAUGAAAUGGAAAUUCUAGAUUCAAUGUUAAGAUUAAGUUUCAUCCAAAAUUGGAUUGUGAUAUUCCAAAUGAAUCACGUUAGGCUAGUGAUGCUUGCUGAACAAUGUGUAAAAAUCACAAUGAUUAAGAAUGAAAAUCACUAGAUUUCAAUUUGGAGUAGUGAUUGAGAAAUCAAACUCUAACUCUCGGCCUCUAUUCCAACCAUCUCAAUUAAAGUAUGGCUAGUACGAAUGUCGGGACUCGAUUUUAUCGUUUUACUUCUCCUUUGGUAAAUUUAGAAAAUCACUCGACACUUAUGCAUCCAAAAGACGGUUAUGCAUCCAAAAGAGGUGUUGCGAGUAAGGUAUCACAUUCGCUUCAAAUUAGUUUUUCGUAUUACAAAACUCCCAAAACAAUAUAUCUGUCUUACAUUUAUCCUCAAAUUAAUUUUGGUUUAACUAGCCUAACGGGAUUCACGAGAUUAUCUCUUCGGCUGUCCCGAACCACGGGAAGAAAAAGACUGGAUUUUGGAGAAAGAGGAGGUUUUUAUAGCGAAACACACUUGCCAACCUACUUCAGAACCUAAAAAGAAAAAGCACACUUGCCAAUCUACGUUAGUUAAAAGAGGACCAAAAUAUUAGGAAAUUCCGAAAAGUUUUCAGAUGCGCCGGCGUCGUGGGGGUAGUCGGAGAUUAUCUCUUCGGAUAGGGCCCGUCGGCGGGCGACAAGACGCCGACGGGACGGCGGUGUGAGGUGGCGGAGCUCGGCGGCCUUCUUGAAGAGGCCCUUUGCGCCUCUUUGGGUAGGCCACGAUUCCCUCGGCCGAAGAGAUAAUCUCUCACUACUUCCGCCGCGGCGACGGCGACGGCGACGGCGACGUGGUGCCUCCGAUGGGUGUGACUGGAUUGAGGCUGGGUGGGACUCUUGCGCGACGGAGGAGGACGGGGAGUCCCUGAUCGGCGAAGUAUGACGCCGUUCGUGAUUUUGUACGCAAAGAAAUUGGAAAGAUCUGGGAAGAAUUCGUCUGCGAUGAUCGGUGCUGGCGAAGAUUCCGGAGCUGGGUUUGGUUGUAAUUCUGAAAUUUCGGCCGAUCAAGAGAUGGGUUCCGUUUUUGAGAGCUUCAAAGCUCGUUGCCAGGCUCUAUUCGUGGACUUGCGUUGGAGAUGGCAACGGCUUCUUGACUUCGCCGGAUAACUCGGCCAUCGGCGGUGGAAGCUCGGGAGAGGAGUCGACGCUCUGCGAUGAAGGCUAUGGAUAUAAUCCCGACCACUUUCUUACACUUGAAGAUUUGGAUGUUUUUCUGUGAUGUAAAUGUGAAAUGCAUGUGAUUGUUCUUAUUAAACUGCACCGUACAGAAUACAUGGAGUGGGUCGUGUUCAAAUUCGUCUCUUUUCAGAUGAGAAAAGCAUCAUUUAGUCAGUUGUUUCGUGGCUGAAGUUGGGGAUAGAGAGGAUUUAUGAUUUCAGUGGUAUUUCUCUUUUGCUAGAUUGUGAAAGAGACUAGCUUUUAUUUAGACUGUCUCAGUAUGGGGAUGAAUUGACUGUCAGGGGUGAUGAAUGGCGGUGCCAGUGAAUGCGAAGCUUUCCACUGUCUGUGGAGUACUAUUGCUCUUUAGAUCGGAUAGUUAAUGCAACUAAUUAUCUGUUCAUUGAUGACUUCUGUGGGGAAACCUCAGAAAAUAGUUUUAAAGAUGUGGUUUUUAAACUGAACUUACAACUGUGAUGCACGUCUUGAGGGAACAUCAGACAGUUUGUGCUACAUAUCUUUCGGGUAGUAGGAAAAAGGUAAAAUUUCUGAAGGAACACAAUUAAAAGCAUUGAUUUGGAAGUCCUGUUAUAUGCAGUUCCUUUCGUAUCCUUCUCAAUGGACUUUGGUAUAGACAAAUAAUUGGGAGAAUAUUGUUCGCUUGCCUUGCCUUUAUCAUAAUUAUCUAUACUCCUGUAAGCAUCUUAAUGACAAAGAUCAUCAUAUACUUUACCAUGCCAUCGGUUGCUCAUUACGCUUUUAAGGGGUCUGUCUUUCAAGGGAUCAACCCAGUUCCAUCAUCAAAGGCAUUGUAUUGGAAGGCAGAUUGCAGUGCCUGUAUGUUGCAGAUGAUAAAGUGACUGUAUUGGAGUCAAAGAAGUGGGCUUGGGAGAAUCUGCUAGAAGCUCAGGCUAUCAGGGAAGCUGUAAAUCCUUGGAGAAAUCAUGAUGCAGAAGCAAAAAAGAAUUCAUAGUGCCACCAUUGUUGAGUUUGUACCUGGUAUAAUUUCUUCUCAAACGCUCUCAUUCAACAAGGAGAGAACUUUCUGUAAACCAUGCUCUUGAUGGAGAAGUUUGAUAACAUUCAAAACAAAUAGGUCUAGGUGGUGGAGCUAUUUUGCUUAACUCCUUUUAGUUAAUGUGUAAUCCAUGUAUUUAUGAGACAUUUUGGCAAUAGGUCUUAAUGCCUCUGGCUAUUAGACUUGUGCAUUGUAAUUGAUGGGAUGAUCACACAUUAGUUUAUUGGAUUAUGUUUUAUUCCUUUUGCCCUUAUAAGUUGGCAAAGAGUACCUAAAAUUGGAUGACCAUAUGUACUGAUGCUGGAAGCUGUGAGUGAACUUUUAAACAACUGAGAUCGUGUUUUGGAUGCUUGAAUAUUGUCUGCAGUACGCCAGACACAUAUCUGCACAUUGCUCCUCUGUCCUGGAAUGAAUUUGGAAUAUCCUGAAAUGUUUUGAGGCAAUUUUGUAUUUGGCUGCUUGGCAAUUAAUCUCCUGUUCAGUGAGUGAGAUUUCCUGUAUGUGAGUUUUGGAAAUUAUACGUUUUCUUGGCAUUGUUCAGUAUGCGCUUCCCUGAUCAUUGUCCAAUGGCUGUUAAGAGUUGGCUGCUUGCUUGUCGCAUAUGGCGACAUGGAUUGCAUUUUUUUUUUUUUUUUUGCGCUUCCAGAACUCAGUAUCUUUCAUGUGCUUUAUAGAUAUGAAUGACCGGAGUUCGGACUCUGUCAUGUGCAUUUCUCUCCGCAGUUUUAUUUAUUUUGCAUGGUGUUGGAUUGGGAAUAUUCGUGUAGGAAAAUUUUUUAUGUCUGAAUGGCAAAUUUACUAUCAUUUACUACUGGGGCCAAAUUUUCCUCAAGAAUGUCAAAGCAGCAGUUCUAUGCAAUCAGGCUAGUAAACGUAAUUACUCAGGAAUUGUGAAGAGCCGGUUACUUUGUUGAGUUUCGUGUUCUUGUUAUUCUUUUUAACUCAAGCAAUUGUUUAGGUCAAGAAUGUGAUGCCUUUAGAUGAUUCAGAAUUAACACUUAAAGAACCAGGAGUCACAGAAAAUUUCUCGCAGCAUUGGUCAAUGACCAAUCUUAAUUGAGCUGAUAUGUAGACUUUAUUUGGUGUGCAAAAGCUGAUGAAUGGUGUAAUUUGAUCAUAUCCUAUCUCUCACAUAAUGACCAAUCUUAAUUGAGCUGAUAUGUAGACUUUAUUUGAUGUGCAAAAGCUGAUGAAUGGUAUAAUUUGAUUAUAUCCUAUCACCUCACAAAUGUGAAAAAAGUCGUGACGAAAAAGGAUUUUGAUUAGAUAAUGUGAUUACAUCCUAUCACUAUUCUUUCACAUUCAGAUCGAUUUAAAAUUGUCUCUUUUCUACUAAUCAUGUGAAGCAACGAGUGUGUUGCAAGAAGAGAGUUUAUGAUUAGAUGCUACUGAUCAUUCGGAUAGCUGGCUUCUGGGGCAAGGAAGUUUGCUUAAGAGGGGAGAAAUAGGAAGGUCGCUAUAAAGAGGGGAGAAAUAGGAAGGUCGCUAUAAUUAUUUAAUGUGAGGUUAUGCUAUUUUGUGGAAAGAGUAAGAUCAAAAUCAAUCAAAGUGACAUUAUGGACUUGCCUUUGCUGCUUAAUCGUACAUAGCCCCAAUAGUUUGUGACAAAAUUUGCAUGUAUCGGUUCUGUCGAUCUUAUACAGUUAGCAUCUUCUAAUCUACGACAACUUAGGCCGAUGUUUUGCAUUGAAUAGCGGCGACAUACGCUUUACUUGGGAUACUUGGUGAGUACACUCGUGGCUGAAAUGCCAUUAUCACGUGUUGCCUAUUGAGCGUUUUGGGCUAGGCAGAAACAGUUGGAAAACCUGCGGGAUCGACAUCUGAUAUAGUGUCUGGAUUGUUCAAGUAUGACUAAGCCAUCUCGCGGUUCAUAAUUGCAAUUUAGAAUCGAAAACUAAGUGGUAAUCCCAUCUUUUUAGCCAUUGAACAACUUGAGUCCUGUCAUAUGUCCCGAUCCCUGAAUCUUUUGGGAGCCAUUGAAUCCAAAGGAGAGGGUCUGAAGAACCAAAGAGGGACAAGUUAACAAAAGCAACUUUAUUUGUACGAGAUCUCGACAAAACACAAAUUAGCUUGAUCAGUGGCUAAGUAGCAUCGACACACAACAGUCUUAUUAUAACUUCGUGACGGUGUUUAAUUGAAAAAGCGAACGGGAUUAUCCUUCACCAUCGUGCUCCGACGAAGAAACAUGUUAGAGAGAAGACCUCUCUCCGAGGGACGUGUACACGUGGUGCGUUUAACAAGAAUUAGCUUCGACCAAGCCCUCAGCUGCUGCGCUCAUCACAUUGAGGAGCCCUCUCGCCGGCCAUCAUAUAGUCGGUAGGUCUCUCGCGCCCUCAGAAUCGUGCCCGCAUGACAUAACCAUUUUUCAGUUGAUCAACGUGGUCCGGAUACGAGGACAACCGGCCAUCGGAUAUCAGGAUAGCACUGGAUCGCAACUGAUUUUUUUUUCUAUGGAACUUUGUCAUUACUGAUCAAAGAGAAAAAGGCACAAGAUAGCUAUACUGGGUUUUCUCUGCAGUAAGCCAAAAAGAAUGUGAAGUACAUUUGGAGGGGAAACUACAUCAAGAACGAUGCCAAGAGAACAUAUAAAUUCCAGAAUCCGCAUACAGGAAAAUCUCACUCACCGAGCAGGACAUUAAUUGCCGAGCAGCCAAAGACAGAAAUUGCAUCAGCACAUUUCAGGAUGUUCCAAAUUCAUUCCAGGACAGAGAUGGCUGAUGCACAGAUGCAGUCUGGCGUAAUUUUAAAUUUUAUUUUUCCUGCAGACAAAGUUCAAGCAUCAAUAAUACGAUCUGUGUGUUUAGAAGUUCACAUCUUCAUCUCACACUCAUCCAGCUUACAGUAUCAUGUAUAGUUGUCCAAGUUUAAAUGCUCUUUGCCCACAUAUAAAGGCAAAAAAGAUCAAAUAUAAUCAAAUAAAACUAAUGUUUGAUCAUCCUGCAAUCACCCCUCGGUCAUUCAAAAAGAAAGCCACAAAUUGGGCGAACGUAAUGGUCAAAAUAAGCUUGUGCACCAGAAAGGCUGACCACCAAUAGUACCACAAUGUCUAAUAGCCAGAAUUCGUAAGACCCAUUGCCAAAAUGUUGCAUGAGAAACAUCAUUUGCACACUAAAAGCAGUUAACCAAGAUUUCUCAACCAUGUAGACGUAUAUUUUCUAUAUGUUAUCAGACUUUUUCAUCAAGAACAUCGUUGAAAGAAAGGUCUAGUGAUGUGCAACAAGAGCAGUCGAGAAAAAAAUCAUACCAGGAAUAACUCAACAAUGGCAGCACUAUGAGUUCUUUUUGCUUUCUGCAUCACGAUUCCUCCAAGGAUUCAGAGCUUCUCUGACAGCCUGAGCUUCCGGCGAAUUCUCCCAAGCCCGCUUCUCUGACUCCAAUUCAGUCACUUUAUCAUCUGCAACAUACAACCACAUUAAUAUUUCUUGGUUAAUACAGAAAGACAGACCCUUUGGUAGUAAAAUAAGUAACCAAUGGCAUGGGAAAGAAUCUGAUAAUCUUCGUCAUGAAGAUGCUCACGAGAGUAUAGGUAGUUAUGAAGGCAAGGCAACCAAACAACAUUCUCACAAUCUUUAGUCUAUACCAAAGUCCAUUCAGAAAGAUGCAAGUGAUGAGAGCUCAUCAAUCUUCAAUAAGAUCACAAAGGAACUGGAAAUCACUUCAUCUAAUUGUGUUCCUACAGAAAUGUUAACUCUUUGAUUAUACCCUGAAAGAUAUGAAAUAGCUGCAGAACAAUCCGCUUAAUGUUUUCCUGAGAUGUGCAUCACAGUCGUAAGUUCAAUUUUGAAACCAGUCUCCUCAACGACUUUUCAGAAGUUUCUCCCACAGAAGGUAUCAAUGAACAGAUGAUUAGCUGCACAAGCCAUCCAUUCUCCACAGACAGUGGAACACUUCGCAUUCAUAGGUAUCGCCAUUCAUCACCUGAGACAACAUUUUUUCGCAUCAUGCUUUUCGUGCAGAACAGCGAGAAUUUUCAGUUCAUCGGCAUAACACGACGGUCCAAAUCAAAGCCCUCCUCUUUCACAAGCUAGCGCCUGCAACAUACCAAGCGACUGCGACAUACCACUGAAAUCAUGAAUUUCCAUCCUACCCCCGACUUCAAUCACAAAGGAACUGACUAAACGAUGCUUUUCUCGUCCGAAGAGACGAAUUUGAACACGACCCAUCACCGUAAAUCCCACUCCCAUUCGACUAACGCAAUAGCUGCCGCACUAGCAUCGCUCGCGAGCUCUAAAGCAAGGUUCAUCAGAUAAAAAUUGACUCCAACUGCUUAAUAGUACCUAAAAACUAUCCAUUUCGAAGUUAUACCGCGCCAAUUUUUUUGGGGUACGAGCUACCCAAAAGAGAAGCGGAAAAAGGUCGAAACGAAAAGAAUAGGCAGGAAUGGCGAAGGAGGAGCAAGAAAGAGAUGGAGGGUCCUCACACAGAAGCCGGUCUUGAUCAUGAACAACUCCAUGGAGCCUCCGACGAGGGCCGAGAAGACCGCGAUCUUCACGUACCAAUCAAGAAACUUCACCGCCAUAUCGAAAGCUUCCGCUCAAGCUUUCCGCGGCAGCGGCUGGAAGACGGGAAAACGAAAGAAGGGUCGGUAAGAAAGAAAGAGAAGGAAUAGGUAACUUCACGUAGAGAGAGAAGACCCAUCGAGGCCCAUCAUCGGCCAACGCGGCCCGACCAUUUCCCCUCUAAAGAAAGCUUCUUUAGCUGUUGGGUCAGGAAUUUGGGCCUUUGGCCACUUUUAGUGCAGCUCCUUGCAUCAAGAUGCAAUCUUUUCGUCUUCUCUUCUCGUCCCGUGCGGUUCUGCUGCAUGUCGUGCUGUGGAUGGCUAGGAAUCAGACCUUCUAAGGGAGAAACCGAUACGGCAAAAGCUCGUCACGGCAUGCAUAUGAUCUUCUAGGAGUAUUUCCGCCCGGCAAUGAUAUUCGAUGCUCGAUCUAAUCUACAUUUAGGACAGAGGUUCGAGCUCGGCGAUUCUGGAACUGCUUGAGUUUUGGCAAAUUUCACUGAGCACUUCUCAGCAACUAGCAAGCAGAGUCUAUGUCUAUCUUGAAGGUGAUAGCUUCUCUGUUAUUGAGCCUCUGACCAAUCUGGAAACACCUCCAUUCUUGAACUCGGUCAAAUCGAGAAGCUCUCAGCAAAAUCAAGUGCUGGGGACUCAAUUCCACACCAUGAUCACUGAUCAGAGCUAAUCUUAUCUCACGAAAUCUUGCCCACCUUAUAUCCACCCCUUACCCUUUCAUUCCUUUUUUCAGUGAAAUAGAAUGACUGUAUCUGAGGUAGUGUCACUAAAGCACUAAAGAAGCAACCCUUUCGAGCACAAAUCCACUGAAUGUUCAACAAGCACCCUAAGCAUUGCGACCCAAGGGACUAGCCAAUUCCAAACACGAUAGCGACUAGUCAGUCCUGCAUAGCAUCUACUGGGGCACAAAAGAGAAGGACUUCAGCAUCGGUACUGUUCUGGGCACUGGCAUCUACUUUCUUGUCCCUGUCAAUAAGCUGCACCAUAAAUUCAGAUCUCAUAUGAGAUUGGUGGGAUUAUCUACCAAUGCAACUCAGGAAGGACAAAGCGACGAUUCAACCGCCACUAUCAAGCUAAGCAUCUGCAAAUAUUAUUGAAUAUACUCCCAUUCAUUGAACCCUUUAUUUAUCUUGUUAGAUAUAAAGUGUUUCGGGAUCUUAAUCAUGAUCUUAUCUAAUGGACGCUCAUGAGGUAUUCACAGCGAUACAAGCCCAAAUAUCAAUAGCCUCAAGGCCCUCUUCCCAUUGCAUGCCUUGAACCUCUCGUUCCAAUUCUUCCUCCUCUCUAAACUUGAAUCCGAAAAGCGAACAGAAACUGUGGUCAGCCAACAGAACCAUAGGUGAACACACAACUUAUUGGAAAGCAUCAUAAAAAUUAACCAAAUGCAAUUACAGAUGACAAUGAUCCUGCUUCAACAGGCUUUGGUUUCAUCUAAUUUGGAAAAGCUUUCCACCUUAUUUCGUGAGACCACGAGUCAUUAUGCGUUCCUUUUAUGGAAACUAAUCGCAUCGGAAUUGCAAUAUGCAAAUUGAGAAUGUAGGCUUAGACAAGUCGGGAUUUUUUAAUUAUUUUUCAGUUCAACAACCGCAGACAGGGUCAGUCCAAGUGAAUGCAGGGGAUUCAAAUAACUCCAAGAGUACCGUCACAGUAAUUUACCCAAAUAAUUGAACUUUCACCCUGCACCUUGCAUGGAAGGGUACAAUAGUAUACUUUCAGCAGUCUCUACACUGUAAAUACAGCAUAAACAGAGGAAUUCGCCGUAAAGAUUCAUCGGAGCUGUGGUUUUAUUAACAUGAAUAUAAUCAAAUUGGAUACAACAUUACUGAGCUUCAGGGACCUUUCUGAAGGGUAUUAGGAGGCGAUUGUUAUCUGGCUCAUUGUCGUAACAUUCAAAAUAUUGGCAUAAGUUCCUGUAAAUAAAUCCAGCCUCAGCAUUGAAUUGAUUUGCCGUCGCAAUUAGGAACUUCUGAGUAGGUGGCAGGCAAGAAUUGUAGAACGGCUAUACAUAGCUUACUUACAUCUCCUUUUUGUCUUUAAGUACAAUGCUGCAUGUCUUGGACUCCAGAUCAGCUAACAACUCCCCCAGCUUUGUCAUCGUUCAAUUCACUUCCUCCUCGACUCUCACGAUUUUUCAGUCUAUUUUGACAAGGACCAAGUCUUCGCUUUCUUUCCUUUCCUCCAACUACACCUUUCAAAAUCUUAUCACAGUUAUUUGACAUCACACAAUGUCCUUUGGAUAUGCAAAUAAUGAGUCUAAACAUCCACAAACAGAUCCAUUACGGAAGAAAAAGAAAUGAAGGGACGAAGUUUAUCACAUUUGCUUCUGAAGCCACACCAGCACACGAUCUGAUUUUAGUGUUGGUAACAUCACUUAAGAAUCGUGAUCAUACUUCCGCGCGGAUUACUGCUCGAACAGGUUCGCUUCCAUACGAACUUCUUGUGUUGACAUAUGAUCUUCAGUUAGUAUAUUCAAUGUUCAUUACUCAUAAUGCGUCAUGUGUCUGGUCAUCUUGUUGGCUUGACAAUAUAUCAGAUUUUGGCUUGAUUGAGAUUAUGUCUCCCUGUAGUUUUUAAAGUGCCCCCUAAAAUUAGAAAAAAAAAUGACUAAAUUCCACUGAUCAAGAAAGUGAAAAGGAAAGAAACAGAGAGAGCCAAUGCCAUUAAACCAGUGAACUGGAAAAAGAGAUAUUGAAUUCUGUACAAUGCAGUUUAACAAGAAAAACCACAUAUGUUCACAUUUGCAUCACAGAAUGACAUCCAGAUCUUCAAGUGUAAGAAAGUGGUCAGGAUUAUAUCGAUAGCCCCCGAGGUCGCAAUGCAUCGGCUCCUCUACCGAGCUUCCUCCAUGGAUGGCUGAGUUUUCCCGCAAAGCCAAGAAACUGUCACGGUUACCGUCACCGAAACAGUCCUCCAAGAGACUACGAAUCUCGGCAGGACAAAAUCCACACCCCUCAAGGUCACAGUGCAUCGGCUCCUCUGCCAAGCUUCCUCCGCCGAUGCCUGGGUUCUUCGGAAAAGUGAAGAAAUGUCAAGGUCACCAUCGCCGAUGCAGUCCUUGAACGGACUAAGAAAUUCAUCAGGAUUAAAUCCACACCCCUUGAGGUCGCAGAGCAUCGGCUCCUCUCCCGAGCUUCCACCCCCCAUGGCCGAGUUCUCCGGUAUAGUCGAGAAACUGUCAUGGUGGCCGUCACCGACGCAAUCCCCGGACACACUAAGGAAGUUGUCCGUCCGGAUUACAUCCACGCCCCUCAAGAUGGGAGCAGGUUGGGGUGGAGUCCACUCCCAAACCCCCACCGCCGGCGGCCGACUUCUCCGGCGAAGUCAAGAAAGGGUCGCCAUCGCCCAAAUUUUCAGAAUCACAACCAAACCCGUCUCCAGAAUCGCCACCAGAACCGAUCACGACGGACGAACCCUUCUCCAGAUCUUCCAACUUCUCGCCCACAAGAUCACGAACGGCGUCGUACUUCGCGAUCAGGGACUCCACGUCCUCCUCCGUCGCGCAAGAAUCCCACUCCUUCCCAAUCCACUCCGCCCACUCGGCCAAACCCAUUGGCGGCACCGCGUCGACGUGGUCGGCAAUUACGUCAUCUUCCACGGAGGGGUCGCUGAAGAAAGAACAGGGCUUCCCGGCCGGGGAGAAGACGACGACGGCGGCGCGAGCGCCGCAGAGGCGGCAGAGCUCGGAGGCCUUCUUGAAGAGGCCCUUGCGCCUCUUCGAGUAAGUCACGAGCCGCGCCGCCGGGUCGGCGAUCUUGGCGAUCUCCGUUCGCCGGCGCUUACCCAUUACCGAUGGAUUUCGCGAAAUUUCUUCAACGAAUUGCGGGAUUCUUGGGUUUCCGAGAGAGAGCUUUCGUGGGUUUUUCUGGGUUUCUUGUAUAGAGAGAGAGAGAGAGAGAGAGAGAGAGAGAGAGGGAGAGGAGGAGAGAGAGGAAGUUUGAAGUUGCAGAGGAGGCGGGCGAGGGAGAGGAGCCGAACGGGAAGAUCUACUUAUAUAGCCAUCGGGGGGCCCUCUUGAGAACUUUCUGAAUUCUGAUUUUUGGUCCUCUAAAUUUCUGUCAAUUUUCAUAUUGGCCCCGCCAACAGUUUAUUUGUGUCGAUUAAGUACUCUUAAAUUUUCGUAAUCUGUGUAAUUGGUGAUUUGUCCAGUGGAUUGCUUUCACCAUUGACACGGUGUGAUAAUUAAUUGAAUUAGAUAAGCGAAGACGUCGCUUUAAAUUAUAAAUUUUAAUUUUUAAACUAGAUAAGUAAAGACGUAGCUUUAAAUUAUGAAAUUUAAUUUAACAUGAGAUGAGGGAAAACAUCGAGAGGUUAAGCGAAAGAAGCUUGUCAUCAUGAAGUUUUCAUUGAAAGUUUUUAAAAACAUUUUUGUCCAUUCAAUAACAUUUAUUCUAUGGUUUUUUUUUUUUUUUAUGAUCCGGAAACCACCGUACAAUUGGCAGCCGGCAACAUAAACCCAGGGCAUUAGCGCGGGGAUCCACCUCCCACGGCAACCCACUUAAGUCACGCAAUGGGGGCAAGAAGUUUCGAACCUCUACCCUCCCGGAUGAGGGAUCAAAGUGCAAACAUACUCGUCCACCGCGAGAUUUUUUUUUUCUUUUAACUCUUUUCAAAUACUUGGAAAUAGCUUGCAACUAGUCAAAGCCAUGAACAGUUCAGAACAAUUGAGUUGGGAGACUCAACCACUUGUCUGCAAGUAUAAGGACAGAAUAAGGGCCUUCUCAAAUAUUCAAACCAUACAUUGCUUUAGAGAGACCAACCUUAUUGUGGAUUGGAUAACCAAAACCCAUAAAAAAAAAAUUACUUAUCUCUAAAUUGGGUCUUGUCCCCUCCUCAAACUUUGUUGGAGCUUUUAUGUAAUGAUGCCCAUUUAACAAGCCUUUCACCUUUGCUUAGUAAAUGAAAUAUAUCCGUUUCCGACCAAAAGAAAGAAAAAAACUUGGAAACAGAAAAAUCUUUGGAUAAAACAUAUGAAGAAGCUAUAUUGUAAGAAAUUUCUUACGUUGCAACAUUUGAUUAAAGGAAUUUUUUUUUGAAGAUAAAGUACACUUUAAUUGAAAAUAUCAUGCUCGAUUAAAAUAUUUGCUCAAAUGUAUAAACUAUAGCAAUGGGUAAUACUAUAUUUUUCCUCCUGUCAUGGAUCACAGUGCUAUAUUAGACAUCAUGUAGUAAACAAAAUAGACAAAGCCACCUAUAUCUCUAAAUAACAUGUAAAAUUAAAUUCAUAUUAGAAUAUAUAAAGAAAUAACGGUCUCAUCUUAUUAGAAUUAAAAAGAAUUACACCAUACACUCCCAUUACAAUCCAACAAAAAAAAUAUAGUUUAAGUGCUAUAUUUUCCCCUAUCUAGUUAUAAAUUGUGGACAUCACUCACAUGCAAAGUAAAUAGAAUAUUAAUAUAGGUGAUGUCUAUGGUUGUAACUCAUCAAUCAACUUACAUAAUUCACAAGCUUUUAACUUUUUGCACAAGAAUGGUAGUAAGACCAAUUAUAAAAUCUGAAUUCAAUUCUAUGUUUUAGACCUAGUAGGAUUUUGGCACAAAUAUGGAUAGUAUAAAUUUUAGACAUAUCUAUGAACUCAAUAAAUCUCAGCUACUAGAUUUUCUAACCUCGCAUGGAAUCCGUGCGAUCAAGGCGACUGUAAAUUGCACCUGACACACUCUUGUGAUCAAGCUCUCAAUUUUUCACAAAGAUGGGCAAUUGACAUUUACACACAUGUCUUGUGUGUUAAAGUUUUGAGAUAGACUUUUUUUUUUUGUUAGUCAUACUCUACGCAUACUCUAAUACUUACGCUUAAACUUUUGCUCAACCUUUUUGCAAGGCAUGAGAAUCGAAAUUCAUAUUUGAAAUUAAAUUGUCCUCAUCUAGAAAGCACCAACAUUUUUUUAGAGCCUUUGUGUUGUAUUGGACACUUCAACAUAUGUCUGAAACUCUCCAAUAAUUGGUCAACAAAUGUCGAAAAAUUUGAUAUUUGGUCAACUCUCCUAACACUCUAGUACGCGAAUCAAGAAUUCCGACAAUGCAUGAGUCAAUUUAAAAAAUUUUCAAUAAACAAUGGAUCAAAAUGUAAAUGUGUGAAAAAAUAACAAAGCUAAUAAAUAGGAAAAGAAGAAAAUUCUAGUUUUAUCUUUCUUUUUUUUUACUCUCACUUCCCAUGACAUACAAUUCACUUCCAGUUUUUUCUCUUCUCUUUCAAUAUGCUCAAACACGUGAAUCCAGAACGUGGAUUGUUUGACUUUUUUCUCUAAAUUUUAUGAAUUAUUGGAAUGGAUUUGAAUUUGCAAAAUUAAAACAAUUGAUGAUAUUAACAAAUGGUAGAUUAAUAUUUUUAGUGUAAAUUCAUUCUAAGCUUUUUUUAUUAUUAUUUAUUUAUUUGUGAAUUUGAAUCAAAUUAAUUUGAUUAAAAUAAUCAUAAAAUGAUAUAAAAACAUAUUUAAUAUAUAACGUGUCCCAAUAUAUUGAAAUUUUUUAUUUUUUAAAAAAUGACAUAUCAACAUGUCAUGUCAUAUUGCAUGCCGAUGCUACUUAAAUCUCUAUCAUAAUUUUUUUUAAAGAUGUGGGAAUUCGAAUCCCUCAUCUCUCUCUUUUCUUUAUAGGAAAGGUGGCCAUUGGUGGUUACGUUGACUGGGCGAGUUUUUGGCAAUGUUUCAUCCAUCAACGAAGACGAUGGAAUCGUAGGAGAAAAACAGACACGAUUACCGUGCAGGUUCAAUCCGUGGGGAGCGCAAUAAACUUUACAAAUCACAGUGCGAAAAACUCCACAGAAUUCGCAGCACGACCGAAUAUAAAAACCUCACAAAUUUUCAGAAUGCGGUGGACUCUCCUUUCCAGGAGCGCUUUUAUCAUACGCGACGACCAAGACCUUUGACCCCCUUCGCGACCCAUUGCGCACUCUUUCCUGGCAAUUACGACUAAGACCCGCAUCGUCUGCGCUUCAACGGGCGCUGGAAAAAAACAAUCCGCCGGGGGGAUGCGCGGUCCUUUUCGCGAUGACGAUCGUCAGGUGGUCUUUCGCCGGCCGACCUCGGCAUCGACCGUGCCCAGUAUGGAGCUGCUCGGCCUCUCAGUAACGACCUUUUUUUUUUUUUUUCGAAAAACCGGCCGGUCGGGCAUCGCCGGAGGACGGCAACUCGACCGGAGAAAAAAAGGGAAGACACGAUUGCGGCAUGGGGACCCUCGGACAAACUUCUCUCUUAUUGUCUUGGUCUUCUCUCGUAUUCUCAACCACUUCGCGGGACAAGAGCCGUCUCUCCCUCACUCAUCUCGCCUCGCUGCUCUCUUUGACUCUCGCUCUCUCGGUCGCCUCCGGCCCCGUCAAUCGCUCUCAACUCUCACGCCUCUCUCUCUCUCUCGCUCGCAGCUCGAUCUCGCAGUCUGCAAUUGUAAGUCCUCCUCUGAGAAUCGUCCAUUUGGUCGAUUUCGAUUUGGCGCUUUCACCUUGUUGGGUAGGAACUUCCUCGAAAGUUAAAGCUCAUUCGGUGUUGCAUUCUAGCCGCCGGAGUGGAAUUGCCUCUCUGGGUUCAUCUCGCUUUGUAGUUACCCCAGUCGGAUUGACGAAAGAUUUCACAGUAAAGCCGUAGUUUUAGGGCAGGUUCCUUUAUGAGCAAGCUGCGACGGUGCGUGCGGGGAAAAAAGCAAUGAUGGGUGGCCUCGGAUGUUUAUAUAACCCGUGUUUUGCUGUCGUUUGCUGUGUGCUCGAUGCUCCUAUGUUAGUUGUCUGCUGAAUUUGUGUGGGUUGCUGGGCUUGAGGAUAAGUAACCGAGUGAAUGGUUUAUGUGACUAGUCGGUGGUCACAUGACUCACAUGACUCACAUAAGGGGACUGAUGAUGUCGGGUGCAGUGGAGCGGGAGCCAAUUAAUAGGAAGAAGAUGCUAUAUCAAUCCAGGGUCAUUCGAUGGAUGAGAUGGACUCUAUGGAGAAUCACACAAUCCAUACGCGCAUGAGUCGGGUUCACAUGCCCCGUGCGCAAGUGGGCAAGACUUGCUUGAAGAAUAGGAAGUGAAAAGAGGUGUAAUCCAGUCCACAUGCCGCAUUUGGCAGGGCAACCUCGAAAUGAUGGAUUUUCAGCCCGCUCGUCCCUAUUGAAAUUGCCAUAUUUUCCAGAACUUCUGUUGUAUUUUUCAGGUUUGGAGAACACGAAAAACGGAAGGGGGUGUUUUCCCCAAAACAGCCCUGAUACUUUUUCCUUGACUCGGACACACCCCUGUCCCAAAAGUGACACUACAAGUAUGUACAAGCAAAGCUGUGAGUGGGUCCCGUGCCCUGUCGUUCCUAUAAAUUUGUGGGCAAUGGUGUGGGCAUUUAUUGCGACACGGUGUCGUCGGGUAAUUUAAAGGAAGAAGGAAGAUGCAAUGGACAUCGUGGUUCCCUUUCAGGGUGAAAGCAAACUCUACAAAGACUAUAUUAUUAAAAUACGAACUAGCCCCCGACUCUCAGCAUGGUUAGCCAAUCUUGUCUUCUACGUUUAAUGACCCGCGGAGAUCUCCAUUUGUAAUUCUAGCUUCUAAAAGUUAUUUUGAUUUCGCAAUGUGCUGUACUAAUUUUGCUGUUAUACAAUUUGAAUUUUUCUCUCUAAAAAGAAGAUCGAGAGAGGUCAAUAGAGAGGAGGCAAUGCUUCAUGCAUUCACCAUGGGGUUGACCGUCAGCCAGACCGUGAAAAGCUUAUGAUAUUGUACGGGCCAACUCUUUACGAAUAACUUUGAUUGUCUAAGGAAUGGUUGAUACAAGUUGAUUUUGGCUAUUUUGGUUUCUGUCAAUUCUAUAUCGUAAAACAUUAAUUGCAAAGUGGCUAAUUUCAAUUGUGAAAUAAGAAAUAUUUAGUAGCCUCGAAAUUGAUUUAGAAACUUGAAAAAUACUUGCAUAACAAAUACCAUCCGUUUAGAAAAACUUUGAUCUUUAAAUAGUCUAGCCAAUCAUCUCAUCAAUCAAUAGAAAAGUUGAUACUGUCUAAUUUAAUUGAAUGAAAAGAACGAAAGUGCUGUAUACAUAUAGUUUUGCCUUGCAUCAAAAUACUAUCAUUAGAUUUAAAAUCACAUUAGCUUAGCUACCACUCUGAGAAAGAUAGAAGACAGAACAGCGAACAGGGUGGUGCGAAGACUGAAACAUCACGGGAUUAGAAGUGCAAAGUCAAAGUCAACGAAGAGUUGGACUAUGAAUAGUCCAUGAUUAACCAGCUUGCUUAAGAAGGAGUCACACAAUGAUUCAUUAUUUGAUAAUUUGUGCCUCUCAGUCAAACUUCCAUAAACGUAGAGAUUUUAUUGAAAAAAAUAUGUCACCAAGAUCACUCUGUAAAAUCCAACACUGAUUCGUGGUUCUCUCAUUCACCCCCCAAAAAUCACAUGAUAACAAAUCGAUGUUCAAUUCCCCUAUCCAUCAAUGAUUCUAUCUUACCAUUUCCUUCCAUUGAAUAACAUCAUAUGAAAACAAACUUUUAGGUUGUGCUUAUCUCGCUGAGAAUUUUUUUUUGAAGCAGGAAAAUGUUCAAGGAAAUUCAAUCUAAAAAAAAUGAUUGUGCUGAAAACAAGUUGAAGAAAUUGAUUUUAUCAUAAUUUGUAAUAAGUGAAUUCUUUAAAUGUGGCUUGUAUAGCUAAAAGUAACAUGUAAUGACGAAUAAACUGGAUAUGACGUCAUAAUUGUUUAUUCUAUAUUCCAUCAAAAUAACAACGAUUACAAAGAAAUUAGGAUAGAUAUUCGGGAAAAUAAUUCUUCUUGCCAAGUCAUUUUCUCUAAGCUUAUUUAUUACUUUUAGCCCAUGUAAACAUUUAUAUGGAUCAAAUAGCUUUACGUGAUUCAAACAUUGGAAAUUACAGAAACAAAUUUCCCAAAUAUGAUUUUUUUUUCAUCAAACUAAGAAGGAAGAUCAUGAGGGGCAAUUCCAUUUUUUUUUCAUUUUUUGAGAAAAGUACUACCCUCCGGAACAAACUUGUAUGAGUGUCUGCAUGACAAUGUUGUUGAUGAAUCCAAACUAAAAAAAGAAGACGUUGAUAAAUGCCAGAUUUGUAAGACCAUAUAAUUGAUGCCAAUAAAGAGAUCCAAAGUGAACAAUCAUAUCCCUUCAUAUAAUUGAUGCCAAACUCCUUGAUUUUCUAAGACUUGGACAUCAGUAUUGAUGAAAAGAAACUUUAAUACCACCACCCUAAAAAUAGAAGCACUCCCAACAAGUAAACCAAGUGAUUGAAUCCAAUUAUCUGACGAAAUCAAGUCAAUGAUGUAAGUUUAACAAUUACUCUCUACAGCGAUUACAAUAGCGAUGUUGUAACUUUAAGCGCCACGGUGAGAUAUCUCAUAAUGCAGAAAAGGAAACGGAUCUAGUCGUGCAAAGAGGUGGCAGCACGACCACAACAUCAGUAAUAAUUGGGGUACUGAUACAUCAAUGAGGUCUACCCUUACUGGGACCUUACUAAACUUUUUUUUUUCCUUUUUACGGAUAAAGUAUGAAUUAGAUAAUAAAUCUCUCAAUAAUAAAUAGAUAAUAGGAAAUACGAUUCUCCAAUUUCUUUUUGAAGUCACAUAUGGCAUUUUUGUGUUUUUUUUUUUUUCAUUUACUAAUUCAAUUCUACUACCUUUUUAUAUUAUUGCAGAAGUUUUAUUACAUAAUUUAUUUUAUCGUUGUAUCAUUUACAUGAAGAUUCAAAAUACGAUCUAACUAAAUGGAAUAAAUCAAAUCUCACUAAAUCCAAAUGUUAAACAGAAAAUGGAAUAACCAGAUUAGAAUCUGACUUGACAUUCUAGAAAAACAGGAAUUCUUUCUGAUAAUUUUUUAACUACUAACUAAAACAUGUAAUGUAUUUGUAGCUGAUAUCUCCCUCUGUUUUCCUUUCUUGCCGACUAGCUCUAUACGUAAGGACCGGGUCGUGAUGGUCUGAAUGCUUCGCCGGGGAGUCUCGACUAAAAGCAGCCUCCCUUCGGCCGGGAUUCUCUUGCUUUUUAACCUUUUGCUUUUCACGCUAAAUCUUUGCUGAAGGUAUGGUCUUCAUCAUGAGGGUGUGCUGCAAUUUCUCCGCUGCCGUGUCCUUCUUGACCACGUUCUUCUCCUCAUCAGAGCAAUCCACCGAAGCUCACCGAGAAUUCCACUUGCGCUCUUCUUUUAUUUUUAGUCUUUUUUUCAAAUUUAUCUGCUUUCGGUUACGCAUGGCCCGGCCAUGUCCCCUCGUCCUUAUCUUGGUGUUCAGUUAGUCAACACGUUUCCACCGUAUCGUGUCCCACCAGAUUUUGCUCUCCAUUUUUGCAGAAUUUCAGCUCUCCCUUCCUGUUCCUUUGUGUGUUUUCACACUGCUAUUUCCCUUCCUUCGCACUCGCAUGAAUGCCGUAUCGAAAGUGGCCUCAAGUCAACCAUUUCGGUUCACAAAAAUUCGCAAUUUUAUUGGAAAGGGUCUGGAAUUUUAAAUGCGAAAGAAUGCAAUAGAGAUCAAGAAUGCAGGAUUACAAAUGUUUCUUUUUUUUUUUAAUAAGGGGUCAAAUUAUCAAUGAAUUUCUUUUUUUAUGGUAACCGAGGAUCCGCAGGGCUCGUCGGACAGUCACGGCCGGUAGAGUGUGCGGUGCACCCCAAACCAAGCGUCAAUACCUCGGGGGUGGCUCAGUAAUCCAAUCCCGAGACCCUCACUUAAGUUAUAUUAGCAACGGGAGGGCUCGAACUCUCGACCUCGACGAAGGAGGAGAGAAUGCACACCAACUGAGCUGCCCAUAGGUGAAUAAUUAUCAAUGAAUUUGAUUGCUGAAUUUCAUGAGAAUGCGGACAGGACCUUUAGGCGAAAAUCUAUGUCAACAAUAAUUUUCCUCAAAGUCUACAAAGACUUGGACUACCAACCGUCCAUGAUGAACAAAGUUUGCUCCGAGAAAGAUUCACACCCAUGAAUGAGCAUUGGCAGGUCUUCUUUUCCACGUUAAAGCAUUGGCAGGUCUCCGAAGACUUGGACGAUUAAAGCAUUGGCAGGUCUUCUUUUCCACGUUAGGAUUGAACCAUCUUCUUUUUCUUUUCUUUUAUUGCUUUAUUCUUUUCAUUAUCACUUUGCUUUUUUGACGAGAUUUUCCUUGGAUUCUCUCCGGGAAUGUUGGCUGUGGUUCCGUUGGGUCAAUUACCUUGAUAGUUGAUUGGUAAGCGGCCACCAUUUGAUCAAUAAUUCCUUCUUUUUUUUUGCACAGCAGCACUACUCUUUAAGGAUACAGAUGAGUUGGGGCUUCUAUAAGUGGGCAAGAGCCUCAACCCCGAACACAAAAGGCACCGCUACUGCUCGCACCACUCCGUCCACCAACCUCCCGGCGGAAUCACGACAGACACAAGUGAUCGAGCCUCCAGUACCUCCAGGUUCGUAGGCACCGUCUAUGUUUAUCUUUAGUGUUUCAGCCUGCGGUGGGUACCAAAAUCGUGACGAUCCGUUGCUGGUGUUACUAGAUUCGCUCGAUUUUGGGUUCCAUCUGUUGAAACUCUUCAACCUAGCUAAAGCGGCUCAAGCUCAUCCUCCGCCUUCUGCAACGUCUGCUGAGAUUCCUUCUCAGGUCCUCUCUCUCUCUCUCUCUCUCUCUCUCUUUCGGUGGGCGUUGCGAGUUCUGGCUUUUUGUGUACGCGAGUCUCGCUGUUUGUGGGUUCGUUGGUGAGAUCGAGUUUCGUGCUUGAGAUGGGUCGGAUUCAGCCGGCGUCGGAAGAGAUGGGUCGUCGGCGUUUAGGCGUUUGGUUUCCGUUUUCCGGUUGUUGCUCUGGUUUUAGCUGGUUCCGUGCAAUCUGAGCUCUUUGAGCUCGAGAGGUCGUGCCCCCUCCUCCGUCUUCCUGUCUUCCUGUGCUCUCGCCCCCCGCGAGAAUUUUGCUUGAGCUGUGGUUUGAGAUCUUGGUUAGGCUUGAGUGAGAAAAGUAGGGAGAGCUGUCGAAACAGAAAUAAAGAAAAUGGAGGAACCCCGAUGCGGGAUGACACGAGUGCGAUUAAAUUUGAGUCAAACGCAACUUAGUGCAUUGCGACGUUGUUUUCUGGAAUUCGAGCUAACUUUAGUUUGGAAUUGAUGAUUGACGCGGCGACGGUGACAGGAUAUGACUUGCGGCCCAUUCGGAGGCUUUCAGAAGUUUGCAGAUUGUGGGAAGAUUAGCAGGAACUAAUGAUUAUUUUAGAAAUUAUACAACUGCCUCCAAAAGAUGAGAGCUUUACCUCGUGCAUUGUCAACUUUGACAAGCUGGAGUGAUGCUGCAGUGAAUCAUUCUUAUUAAAUAAUUGUAGCACACUGGCCCACGACUCUAUGCAUAUUUAGCUAAUUCAGGGUACCAAGUUUAAUGACCUAUAGAGAUUUCCAUUUGUGAGUCAAGCUUCUAAACAUUUUCCAUCUCUGGCUGCCAUCGCUUUUGCUGAUAUGCUGUUUGGUAUUUCUUGAAGAUCAUGUCGAGGGAAAUCGUGCAGAAAAACAACGUACCUGUAAAAAUUGAUGGAAUAGCAGGGAGCGCUUCUUUCACUCACACUGCGACAGAAGGUCAAGGAAUGGCUAAUUCAUCAGGAUAUGAAUAUGAAGUAUUCUUGAGCUUCAGAGGAGAAGAUACUCGAACAGGUUUUACUGACUUCCUUUACACUAGUAUGAUAGAUGCUGGAAUCUGCGUCUAUAAGGAUGACGAAGAGCUCCGCAAGGGGGAAAAUUUUGGCCCGGAACUUCUCCGAGCAAUUAAUCAAUCGAAGAUCUCAAUACCUAUAUUUUCGAAAGGUUAUGCCUCUAGCGGAUGGUGUCUCAAGGAGCUAGUCCAGAUGGUCGAGUGCCAAAAAACUAGGGGACAAAAGAUUAUGCCCAUUUUUUAUGAUGUAGCACCUUCAGAUGUUCGACACCAAAUUAAAGGUUAUGGAGAGGCCUUUCUUACACAUGAAAACAAGAAGCGAUAUGACAAAGAGACUAUGUGUAAGUGGAAGGCUGCUCUCACCAUAGUUGGAGAACUAGAUGGAUGGAACCUGCAAAAAAUGGCCAACAGGUAAUUGCCUCUAUCAUUCCAUUUGAUGUGCCUUGUCCCAUUAAAACUUGAUGUGUUUCACUGUUGAAAUUGGAUUUUAUGCUAUUGAAACUUUACCGUAGAAAUCACUCGAAAUAAUGGGACAAUCCCCAUUUUGUCCUUUUUCAUUCCAAACAAUUUUUAUUUUAUUUUAUUUAUUUAUUUAUUUAUUUUUCAGUUAAGGUCAUUCGUUAAUCAUAUGUGCCAAUGCUAAUUCAUUGACAAUGAAGUAAAUCCUUAUAGAAAGCAUUACGAAUAGGUCUCUAGUUUUCACUUUGGUCUUGUUAGAACAUAACUUGGUUCAACACAGUUUUCUAACUCAUUGCCAUUUGACCUCCAACAAACACUAGGAAAGAAGGUGAGAUGGCAAAAACAGUUACCCAGAAGGUUUUCAAUGAAUUGAAAAAGGCUUAUUUGGUGGUAUCAAACAACUUGGUUGGUGUGGACAGUCAUGUGGAUAAAAUCAUGGAAGAGAUAGGUGCUCAUAUAAAUGAAACGCAGAUCGUAGGAAUUCAUGGGAUGGGUGGUGUUGGAAAGACAACAAUUGCCAAAAUCAUAUACAAUGAGCUUUCCAACAAGUACAACAAUUGUUGCUUCCUUUCCAACAUCCAUGAAACGUCAAAGCUCAGGGGCAUUGAGUACUUGCAGCAGCAGCUCAUCUUCGACAUCCUCAAGAUGAAGGGGACGGAUAUAAGAAACAUUGAUGAAGGGAUUAAGACCAUUAAAGAAAGGUUGCCUAAUAAAAAAGUCCUCCUUCUUCUUGAUGAUGUUGAAGAAAAGGAUCAUAUGGAUGCACUUGUCGGUAAGCGUGAUUGGUUUGGCAAAGGGAGCAAAAUUAUUGUUACUACAAGAAGGAAAGAUGUUCUCUGUGUUCCGGAAGUGGACUGGAGGUAUGAGCUUACGUGCUUGGAUCCGAAUCUAUCUCUUCAACUUUUUAGCAAACAUGCUUUUAGAAGAGAGUCUCCUGUAGACGACUAUAUCAGCCAAUCCGAGAGGGCGAUACGCAUUGCCGGAGGUCUUCCAUUAGCCAUUGAGGUCAUAGGUUCACUUCUAUCUGUCAAAAAAAAGGAAAAGUGGGAUGACACAUUGAAGAUGCUAGAAAGUGUUCCUCAUGAUAAAGUUCAAAAUAAGUUGAAAAUAAGUUAUGAUGCAUUAGAUAAUCGGCAGCAGCGUAUAUUCAUUGAUAUAGCUUGUCAUUUCAUUGGAUAUUGCAAAGACAUUGUGGUUUAUUUCUGGGAUGCAUCUAAACUUUUUCCGGAAGCAGCCGUGGAAGUUUUGCAGAAUAUGUCUUUAAUAAAAAUAGGAGAAGAUAAUAUAUUGUGGAUGCAUGAUCAACUCAGAAACCUUGGAAGAGAAAUAGUUCGUCAAGAAAGUGAGAUGAAUAUAGCGAAGCAACGUUGGGUGUGGAGUCCUGAGGAUGGAUUAAAUCUGCUAAGGAUACGUGAGGUAAAAUGUUUUGUGCAAUACAUCUCCAAGUUACUUAUAGACAUUUUCUUUUCCCAAAAAAAGUAGUUACUUUUUGUGUUCUCUAGCAUCAUCGCGACUUACUCAACCGAUAUUUUUGGUCUUUUAAGAUUUUAAAGGAAUGAUAGUAGUCAACUCAACCCCUUAAAAUAGUGAACUUGAAGAAAUGUGUUUCCUUUCAAUUUUUUUGUUUUAAAAUUUUUCCUUUGGGCAGGAAAAGAAAGAAGUUGAAGCUCUUUAUCUCAAGUUUGAUGAUCAGCACCGUUUUACCUAUGAGGACUUCAAGAGCCUAUCAAAUCUAAUGUUCCUUGAAGUAGACGACUUGAAGGAAAAUUUUCGUGGAGAAAAGAUGCUUCUUUGGCUCAAAUGGCUAUCAUAUGUUCUUCCAACUAAUAUUUUCCAGAGGAAUUCAAAUCUCCUUCCACGAUUACGAUGGCUUUCUUGGCAUAAUAUUCGCCCAACAUUUAAGAUUCAAAAUUUUUCCGUAGCGAAUUUGGUUAUCCUUGAUCUAUCUGGGAGUGAAAUCACUCAUGAUUGGAAGGGGUGGAGCCACAUGAAGGUAUGUUAUAUACUAGACAAUACUUAUUCUUCCUUCUUAUCAUAUUCAAAAGUAAACUUUGCAUGAUUUUUCUUUCACAGGUGAUUAAGAAUUUGAAAGUUCUGAAUCUGGCCAAUUGUCGACGCUUGAAGAGAACCCCUAACUUCUCAACUCAUUCAAAUUUAGAACGUUUGACCCUAUCAGGCUGUGACUCAUUAAUCAAAAUUGAUAGAUCGAUUUGUCAGUUGAAACACUUGGUUUUCUUAGAUGUAAACUUUUGUUCGAGUCUUCAAAGUUUGCCGGAUGAGUUGGGUAGAGAUCUUGCAAGCCUCAAAUACCUAUCUCUUCAUGGAUGCUCGAGUUUGAAGAGGCUUCCGGAGACAAUCGGGAAUUUGGAAUCGCUGAUUGAGUUGAACAUAGGUGGCUUUACAACGGCAAUCAAAGAACUACCCGAUUCCAUCAAAAAGUUGAAGAAUUUGAAAAUAGUAAAUAUGCAGUAUGGUGGCAUAGGCAAAAUACACAAUACCUUUUGGACGAUGGAGAAGCUUGAAAAAAUAAAAAUCAUCCAUGCGGAUUAUCUUUACGGGGGUUUACACAUGGAAAUUGGUGAUGGCAUCUAUGAGAAUAAAUCCUUAAGGAUCUUGAGAUUGUUAGGGGUGAGAAUACACGCCCUAUCAAGGCUUCCUGAAAGUCUUUUGGAAUUAGACCUGAGGUAUUUGCAGGUGGACACGUUUCCGGAUCUCUCAAAUCUUGCUAACUUAAAGGUAUUGGAUCUGUGGUUUAUUCGCCCACCUAAUUGUGAUGGGAAAUCUUAUGGGCUUCCAGAAGAACCGAUACCGCGGUGGAUUGGGAACUUAAGCAAAUUGGAAUCUCUGGAACUGCACUUUUUAGACGAGACCGCCUCAUCGACAGGAGACCUCAGCCUCCCUCCUCAUCCGUGUCGCCUCCCAAGGCUUCCCUCAAAUUUAUCCUCCUUACUUCUCUCUGGUUGCGACUCACUUUGCUUGAUGGAUCUAUCGAAUUUGAGGAAACUAUCGUCUCUCUUGAUUUGGAGCUCUGCAGUUGCAGAGAUUGAAGGCCUUGGUUGUUUGGAGAACCUACGAGAUUUGGACCUUCAGCACGUCAGGCAGCUGGCGAUGCUACCUGAUCUAAGCAAGUUAAACAAGCUAAGGCGUAUUCUAGUAUUCGAUUGUGGUAAUCUGGUUGAGAUUCAAGGCGAACUACCGCGGUUUUUGGAUAAUCUUUCAAUUGAUUACUGCAAUUCGUUACGGGAGUGCCCCGAUCUGUUCAGCUUACCCGAUAGGUUCAGUUUAAUGGGUAAGACACAUGUUUUUAUGCAUAUCAAUCUCAGUCAGAUGUUUUUAUAUGGAGGUAGAGAUGAGAUGCUGGUUCGUGGCUUUAAACAGAUGCAGAUCCCUGAUCUAAGCGAUUUGGACGGAAUAACAAUUCUUAUAGUAGAAUCUUGUCAUAAUCUGGUUGAGAUUCAAGGCGAACUACCCCAAUCUUUGGAAGAAUUGUGGAUUGAAUGUUGUGAAUCUUUACAGAAGUUGCCUGAUCUAUCAAGCUUGAAGGGACUGCGAAAGGUUACAAUAUUACGUUGUGGGAAAUUAGCGGUGGAGGAAAUUUCUCGGCUUUGCUCGGAGAAGUCAAUCAAAUUUCUGGGAGAAGACGAUGAAGAAGACAAUUUACCGGAUUGGGCAAGAAUAGAAAGAUAUGAAAGAAGACGAGGGGCAAGACAAAUUGCCAGAAUUCAUUCCCGUUGAGGUAAGUACCAAUGUUUUCCUUUUUGGGCAAUCAAAUUCUUUCACAGAUAUGAACAGAGAAUUUUGCAUGCACUUUUUAAUGACCUUUUAGCGGAUUCUUGUCUGAAAAUCUGAUGAAGGUAUUUAAAUUAUGAUGCCUCCGAACAGCCAAAGGGCUCUUAAUUAUGUACAAGUAUUUGUGUUCUUUUCCUAGUUUGGUUUGGCUUUUUUAGCUACAUUUUCUUAGGAUGGUUUCUCCUAGAGGUAUGCAUGUCGAUUGCAUCAUUUUUAUUUGAUAUGUAACAAAUUAUUGGAAAUCUUUGUUGAUUUGCUGCUUCACACAUAUUUUGAAAUUGAUAACCUCACUUCGCAUGGGAGAUAAAUUCGCUAUGCUGUAAACAAAUAGAUGGAAUGUGUGUUGGAAGGUCAUACAAAUUCUCAUCCUGGGACUUUACAGCACAAUCAACUCACUGUUGCGACUUUGACGUAGACAGACACUCUGUAUUGCCAUGCUUAAGUUCAGUUUAUUUUGCAGGAAAGGUGUGCUUCUUAGUGGGAUUUGCAAAUGUUAUGGAGAAGUCACAAAUGAGGGAGCCACCGCAAUUCUGAGAUUACUGGUGUGGUAGCACUGGCUAAAGCAGCAGCACCAUAAUAUUUAUCUCAGCAAUGAUGCCUUCAAUCAUAGCAAUCUUUGACGGGCACACUGACAAAAAUCAUUCUGUGCAGCAAACAUCGCCUACAGGAGUAAUUGAGAGAAUGCAGCAUUCGCUGUACCAGUAAAGAAGGAGCACCCUUUUGCUGAGACUUGAGAAUUGCACUCACUUACAAAAGAUUGGUAAGAAAAAGAGAACACCUUCCCUUGGGGCUGCCUUCAGUAUUAGAACUGUGCAUUCUGAAGCAAUAUUGGCAUUGUUUUUGUCAUGAGAUCCACUCAAUUCUAGUAAGACACUGGCACUGCCACCAAAGUUGGUAAUGCGUCAUAUGCUGCUCGCCACCUCAGAAGAACUUUCUUCAAGUAGUGGUGGCUCUUCCAUGUACUUGAAAACUUUCGUAGAACCUGGUGAUCAUAAAAGAAGAGCUUUGCACAAGCCAAGCAUCAAUUUGAGAAAAUCUUCCAAAUUCUUCCCAUGUACAAACUCCAAAAGGUUUCCAAUCCACCGUGCUACUUUUAGCUGAGAAAGCAACUUGGGAUCCAUAUCCUGAACCAAUGCCAGAGCCACGCGCAGCUCAACAUCAUUCACAUUUGCACAGGACAGAUCACCAAGUGAAAAUCUGAAGCUGUGGCUGACUGUCUUUAGGUGUGGAAUCUCAGAAAUUUUAGUCAAGUUGAACUUUAUGAGCAUCAGGGACAGCUUCUGCGCACACAUUGGUAUUGUGGUCCUCAUCCUCAAUCAAGGUUGGGUAAAGAGGGAGAAAUUGCACCAAGGACAUGGAUUUCAAGUUUGCCAGCUUAAGCUCUAACUCUGGAGUUUUGAUUAGGAAAAUGAACGUCGCAUCAAACGGAAUCUUGAGGCACAGAAGCCUGGCAUCACCAUCUUUGUUGCCCUUAUACAGAACAUCCAGACUCAGCAAAAUCCCACGGAUGAAUACGUUAGAGCUUUCAGCUCUGUGAUAGACUCAACGCCAGCAUUUUGAGCCGGCAAUGCAGGUUCUAGGAGCGGAUCAGUGUUGUGCUCUUGUUUUCUUUUUCAAUCUUGAACUGCUUUUGGAUCGUGUUUGUAAUUAGUGUGCUGAAUUAUGCUUCGUGUGAGUGUGAACCAUCUAAGUUUUGCCUGUCCAGUGUUUGGUGAUCAUGUGCAAUUUUGGUGUUUGACGAAAUGAGUUAUGUGCUUGAGUCUGCGUGUGCUAGAAUGUCACCUUCAAGAAGCACCUGAAGCUGAAGCUGAAGCGCAAGGUCUAUUGUGACGGUUUCCUCUCACCCUGCACCUCCACUGGCAAGGUACCUUCGCUUUCACUACUAAUCUCUGCUAGUGAUGUCCAGCUCAACCUGGUCUGCAAUUUAGUUACCUUUGAUUAGGCUUGGACAUGAUUCGGUUUGAUUGGCUAAUCUGUGUCAAAAUUGCUGGCUAUCGAUUUAUUACCGUUUUCCCCCAUAUUGAGGUUGCUCGAUCGAACUGAACAGCAGCAGCUUGAUGCUGCUUACGAUUUCAUUUUUUCUAUCAGCACGGAUUGUUCUGUUCUGUGCUUCUGGUUGUAAUACUUGCCGUGAUUGAGCUUGUUUUGAGUAGAUUAGUCCAUGCUGUGAUUGAUGGUCGGAUAAUGCCAUAUCAUGGCAGCGAGCAGCUGUUGGUAUGCAGGAUUUUGAAGAAUGAUGAAGUUAUUUGUUCCGGUCAGUCACUGAUUUCAAUGCUUAUUUGGUUGAUGUUGGAGAGCCUGGAGGAGGACAAAAGCCUCUAGAUGAUACUUAUAUUCACAGCCUGAUUAUUGUUUGGCAAUUGGAUUUAUAAGUUCCCUCUGCCGAGGGUAUUCCUUGCUUGUCUUCUUCAUAGUUGUUUUGUUGGUUCAAAUCAUCAGUAGGUGCAAUGUGAUGAAUGUGAAGUUCUUGGGUUUGGUUUGUUAAAAGUCCAAAUGGGUAUAUUUUACUUAUUAUUUGUCUUGGAAAAAAGAGCAUUGCUUGCAUACAAAUACGCAUAGACCCUCCUUUGUGAUGCUUUGCUAGUUGCUCGUGUGGGAAAUUAAAUAUUUGUUCUUUUGCUUGCUUCAAACAGCUACUUGGGUACAGUUCAUGUGUUGAUUGAUUUAGAAUCUAGAUGUAAACAUUUGCAGUUGGUCUACUGUUGCUUUUGCUCAAUGCAACUGAUCUUUUGAAACUCCAUUUUUUUCGUUAAAGUUUUUCCUUUUGUUAACCUUACUUUCAAUUGAUGCAGAGCUUUGGUUGAGUUUCUGGAUAUGAGGUUUGUCACAAAACUGAUUAGAGAACCCGCAACAAGUAGAAAGAGAGAAAGAAGGAAGAGAGAAGGAGGAGAAAGAGAACUAAAAGAAAGAAAGAGAGGGCUGUAGUUUUCUGUAGUCACAGAAACCCUACACCCAUUGUAUUUAUAUUGAAUAUAAAUUGUAUAUAGCAAUAAUAUCCUUAUGUAAGUAAAAAAGGAAAUAAAACUCUGAUAAUAAAGGAAACUUAAUAAAGUAACUUAACACUCCCCCUCAAGCUGGAGCAUAUAGGUCGCCUAUGCCCAGCUUGGAACAACCAGCAACAAAAAAACAAGAUGAAAUAAUGCUUUGGUAAACAUAUCAGCAAACUGAUCUCUAGAGGCAACGUAAGAAAGUAGCAACCAGCUUCUGCUUCACAUCAUAUGCUUAGUUCGCUCUUGAAAAACAUGAUUCCUAGCAAUAUAAAUAGCUGCUUGAUUAUCACACAUCAUAUCAAUAGGUUGAUUAAUCGAAAAUCCAAGCUCCUGGAGAAGAGAUUUCAACCACAACAAUUCGGCCACAGUAUGUGCCAUAGCACGAUAUUCAGCCUCUUAGUUUGUUUCUUCCUAUAGAUAGUAAAGCCCAAUCAGCAAUCGUAGUAGUAGUCGCAGUAGUAGUUGCAGCAACGAUUGCAGCAGCAGCAGUAGCAGCAAUAGUAGCAGCAACAGUAGUAGUAGUAGCAGCAGUAGCAGCAAUGGUAGUAGUGGUAGUAGUAGCAGUAGCAGAUGUAGCAGCAGCAACAGUGGUAGCAGUAGCAGCAAUAGUAGCAGCUACGGUAGUAGUGGUAGUAGCAGCAGUAGCAGAUGUAGCAGCAGCAACGGUGGUAGCAGUAGCAGCAAUAGUAGCAGCAACGGUAGUAGUGGUAGUAGCAGCAAUAGCAGCAGCAACAACGGUAGUAGUAGUAGCAGUAGCCGCAAUAGCAGCAGUAGUAGGAGCAACGGUAGUAAUAGGAGCAACAGAAGUAAUAAUAGCAGCAGUAGUGGCAGCAAUAGCCGCAAAAGGAGUCGUAGUAGUAUCAAACCACAGAAAUCUCCAUUCAAAUAAUUAUAUGCUUGAUGGAAACCAGCAAGACCAGUCAACCAUAAUCAAUAAAGUACUCCGAUUCUUGAAUCCGCUGAUUAGAAAGUGUUGUAAUCCAUGUUCACAAACCAAACCUGAUGAAUUUGAUAUCUUCCGAUCUCAUAUGUAUCAAAACUUGAAGAGAAAAUCGAUAAAAAUUACAGCUUUAGGUGGCUGUGCACCAACCCUAGGGGACUCUCAAACCAGCAAUAGGAUCAAGUAAUCAGGUAAUUAGACCUGCUCUGAUACCAUGUCACAAAACUGAUUAGAGAACCCGCAACAAGUAGAAAGAGAGAAAGAAGGAAGAGAGAAGGAGGAGAAAGAGAACUAAAAGAAAGAAAGAGAGGGCUGUAGUUUUCUGUAGUCACAGAAACCCUACACCCAUUGUAUUUAUAUUGAAUAUAAAUUGUAUAUAACAAUAAUAUCCUUAUGUAAGUAAAAAAGGAAAUAAAACUCUGAUAAUAAAGGAAACUUAAUAAAGUAACUUAACAAGGUUCAGUAUAAUCCCCUCAAUGAAUUACGAGGUGUGUUUUCCUUUUAGCUACUUAAAUCCUUUCGCAUGGAAUCUACAGUUGUAUUGCCUACAUAACUUUUCAUUUUCUGCAGAUGCUCCUAAUUCCUCAAAAACCGAAAAAGAAACACUGGUUAUUUUAGAAGAAACUGGUCGCUUAUGAUGUUGCAACCUGCCGGAAAUGGGAACCAAAUUGAUACCGUCCCUAUACCCUACAUAU